rnacentral:rRNA from 1 species
GACGAACGCUGGCGGCGUGCUUAACACAUGCAAGUCGAACGGAAAGGCCCUGCUUUUGUGGGGUGCUCGAGUGGCGAACGGGUGAGUAACACGUGAGUAACCUGCCCUUGACUUUGGGAUAACUUCAGGAACCUGGGGCUAAUACCGGAUAGGAGCUCCUGCUGCAUGGUGGGGGUUGGAAAGUUUGGGCGGUUGGGGAUGGACUCGCGGCUUAUCAGCUUGUUGGUGGGGUAGUGGCUUACCAAGGCUUUGACGGGUAGCCGGCCUGAGAGGGUGACCGGCCACAUUGGGACUGAGAUACGGCCCAGACUCCUACGGGAGGCAGCAGUGGGGAAUAUUGCACAAUGGGCGGAAGCCUGAUGCAGCAACGCCGCGUGCGGGAUGACGGCCUUCGGGUUGUAAACCGCUUUCGCCUGUGACGAAGCGUGAGUGACGGUAAUGGGUAAAGAAGCACCGGCUAACUACGUG